rnacentral:rRNA from 1 species
CGCUAAUACCCGCAUAAUACAGUGAAGACACAUGUUUUUAUGUUAAAGCUCCGGCGGUUAAAGAUGGGCAUGCGUAGGAUUAGCUAGUUGGUAAGGUAACGGCUUACCAAGGCGACGAUCCUUAGGGGUUCUGAGAGGAAGGUCCCCCACACUGGUACUGAGAUACGGACCAGACUCCUACGGGAGGCAGCAGUAGGGAAUAUUGGUCAAUGGGCGCAAGCCUGAACCAGCCAUGCCGCGUGCAGGAAGAAUGCCCUCUGGGUUGUAAACUGCUUUUGACAGGGAAGAAAUCACUUAUGCGUAAGUGUCUGACGGUACCUGUAGAAUAAGCACCGGCUAACUCCGUG